CAGUUAUCAUUAAUUGGUGGUAAAAAUCUAGUUGAUACAAUUAAAAAUAUUUUGCUCUUAAGCUGCUUUUAAGUCAAAUAAAAACUUAACUAAAAUGAAUGCCAUCCAACUUAUUGGGAGGGUAAGUAGGCAUUCUUCUGACCGAAUAAAGAGAACAUCCACUAAUAUGGAUUUCGAUCAAUGAUGGCUUAAUUAACUGUUGUAUUUAUUUUUUUUUUUCAAUUUUUAUAAGCAAUUU